rnacentral:rRNA from 1 species
UACGGAGGGGGCUAGCGUUGUUCGGAAUUACUGGGCGUAAAGCGCGCGUAGGCGGAUCUGCAAGUCGGGGGUGAAAUCCCGAGGCUCAACCUCGGAACUGCCUUCGAUACUGCGGGUCUCGAGUCCGGGAGAGGUGAGUGGAAUUCCUAGUGUAGAGGUGAAAUUCGUAGAUAUUAGGAAGAACACCAGUGGCGAAGGCGGCUCACUGGCCCGGUACUGACGCUGAGACGCGAAAGCGUGGGGAGCGAACAGG